GAACAGAAGGCAGAGCUCAGGAUGACCUUCACCACAGCCUGGUCCUGUCUCCUCCUGUCAUUCCUUGUUCAGUGCACAGGGUCCUGGGCCCAGCUGACUCAGCCGCCCUCACUGUCUGGGACUCCAGGACAGAGGGUCACCAUCUCCUGCAUUGGAAGCAGCACCAAUAUUGGGAAUGGCUAUAGUGUGAACUGGUAUCAGCAGCUCCCAGGAACGGCUCCCAAACUCCUCAUCUAUGGUAUUAGUAGUAGACCCUCAGGGAUCCCUGAUCGCUUCUCAGGCUCCAGAUCUGGCAGCUCUGCUUCACUGACCAUCGCUGGACUCCAGCCUGAGGAUGAGGCUGACUAUUUCUGUCAGUCUUAUGACAACAGCCUCAGUGCUGACACAGUGCUCCAGUCUCAUGGGGAAGUUUCCUCCUCAGCUUGUGCUGACUCAGUCACCCUCUGCAUCUGCCUCCCAGAGAGCCUCAGUCAAGCUCACCUGUAUCCUGAGCACAGCACCUACUUCAUUUCCUGGUACCAGCAACAGCCAGGGAAGGCCCCAGUGUUCCUCAUGGAUGUUAACAGUGAUGGAAGCCACAAGAAGGGGAAUGGGAUUCCUGAUCGCUUCUCUGGCUCCAGUUCUGGGUCUGAACUGCUAUUUAAGCAAUUCCAACAUCCAGCAUGA